UUUAAUAUGUACAAGAAGUUCAGGAGGGAAGCUUCAUCUGCUCAAGACAGGUGGGGUUCUGUCUCUAAUAGACUGCACAUUGAUUGAGGAGCCAGAUGCAAGCGAUGAUGACUCUAAAGGUUCUGGGCAAGUGUUUGGGCACCUGGAUUUUAAAAUAGUGGUGGAGCCUCCUGACGCUGCCGCCUUCACUGUUGUCUUGUUAGCACCCUCACGCCAGGAGAAAGCUGCCUGGAUGAGUGACAUCAGUCAGCGCUCUAAACAUCCUCUACAAGAGUGCCUUAUGCUGGACUUUUACUUAUAUACCCUCAGGAUGGCUUCAAUGGCAAAUAAAUAGCUAGAAAAGAAGCCAUUUCUUUUCUGCCUGACAAGGAAAUGAAAAUAUGGGAUCUUCCAUUUUUGUGGACUUGCAUCCUUGUGGUGAUUUAUUCAUACGUUCAUUAGCUCUAUGCUAUAUCAAUUAAUAGCAUAUUAAGUCUCUCCCUAUUUGUAACACAUCUCUUACUUUAUGAAACUCUGGAUCAUUCAUUGACUCUUUGAACAUUUAUUGAGGAAUCACCAUGUGCUGUCAGGUAUUGUGCAGGUACCAGGAAUACGACCAUGGUUCUUGCUCUCAGGGAGAAUAGGCAGGCUCAUAGGGAGCAAAAGGAAGUAAACAGCUAAAUGCAAAAAA
rnacentral:lncRNA from 10 species